AAUAUUCUAUGCCCCAAUUUUAUUAAAAUCACCUUACUCUAAUUAAAUUCAAAACCCCAAUUUUAGACACAAACCCUAAUUUUUACUAACACUCAACUCACCAAAAACCCUAGCCACCAACCCCUCAUCCACGGCUCACCAUCACACACAUACCACCAACACACACACACAAGCAAACACAACGCGCACACACACUAAAAUAGAAAGAAAGCAGAAAGGGAAGCGGGAAGGGGACCAAGGAAGGAAGGAGAGGGGGGAGAAGGGAAGGCGCCGCGGUGGGCGUCACUGUCACCGUCGCCACCGCUGCUGACCGAGAAGAGAGGAGAUCCGGGCAAGAGAGAGGGAGUGCCGGUGGAGGAGGGAGACCGCUGCCAUAGCCGCCGCCGUUCGUGCUCCAGCUCGUCGCCACCAUCGCGUCGCCUGCGCCGUCGAGAGCAGAGCCGCGAGGAGAGAAGGCUCGCGAGUGAGAGAGAGGGUCGCGGGCCUGGAACCACCGCGUCUUUGUCGCUGUUCCUCGCCAUUUAUAUCGCCACCGUGGCUGAGCCUCUGCCGCCGAAAAAGACCGCUGCAGCCGCUGAGAUCCACCACCGGUAAGGAUUUUGAGUUUGGUUUACAUUCUUUUGAGUUUUCGGGAAGACGGGAACCUUAUCGUCACUACAUGUUGUUACAAUCGCUGUCGCCGAAGUUCUGGUCGCCGCUGCCGCUUGAGGUGACUGCCGGGGCUACCGCCAAAUCGGUUCAGCGACAGCCGCUGUUUCGUUUUCUUAUUACGUGAGAACCAACGAGGACGAUGCUCUCACUCCCUGCAGGUGUUUUCUUUUCAAGAUAUGGGCGAAGAAGUCAUGAAGAGUUUAUUUCGUUUCUGUUUAUAUGAUCUAUUAUAUUGUUUUAGAUAUGUUUUUACCCACCUUUAUCUUUACACAUUUUGUAAGAGGGAUAGAAUUUGUAUUAUAUAAUACUUGUAAGUCAAUAUUAUAUAUAUAUAUAUAUAUAUAUAUUCUUGUUA